CUUAAUCCAUUUCCAGAAGGUCCACUCGUUCUUCUUCUUCGCUGAGCUUUUAUGUUUCGUCACUUUGAAUCUCUACCAUCUUAGCUAGCAAAGUCCUACAAAGAUGAUCCUUGCGCAAUUUAUUCUUCUCUGCGAUUGUAUGGUCGUAUGGCCCAGUUUGUCUAGGGUGUCUAAGCCCCAUUAUUUUAGAUGUGUAGAUGUUAAAAUUCUAGGUUGAAUCUUGCAGUAAAGUUCUAUAUUUUGUUUACUUCCUAAGUCGCAUUACAGUAUAGAUCUUCUGAAAUGAUUCAUUCGAAAGCAUAUGCAGAACAAUUUUGACUAUGAAUGAUAUUCUGAGUUCAAUAGUUGACUCUAAGGAAGACCGUGAUGAUGCUGAGAAGAGGUUUGCGGACAUUGACAAUGCUGAGAGGGAGCUUGAGCUCCGUUUCCACGUAGCCGGUUUACCGUAGCUUCUCCGCGAAGUCGUUUUCGACGUCUCCACCGGCGUCCAAUGCCGCGGCCGUGGCUUCCAGCCCCGCUGCCGACUUGACCGAAGAGAAUCUUCUGAUCGACGACGACGACGACGUUGUUUCCAAGCCUGAUACGAUUCCGACUCUGCUUCAACCCGACGUCAUUUAUGAUGGCAUUUGCCAUCUCUGUC